GAGCACGUAGGUGGGUUUGUAAGUCAGACGUGAAAGCCUUCUGUUCAACGGAAGAAUUGCAUCUGAAACUACAAACCUUGAGUGUAGGAGGGGAGAAUGGAACUUCUGGUGGAGCGGUGAAAUGCGUAGAUAUCAGAAGGAACGCCGGCGGCGAAAGCGAUUCUCUGGCCUAUUACUGACACUCAGUGUGCGAAAGCUAGGGGAGCAAACGGGAUUAGAUACCCCGGUAGUCCUAGCCGUAAACGAUGGGCACUAAGUAGAGGGAAUUACCGAUGUUCUCUCUGCCGUAGCUAACGCAUUAAGUGCCCCGCCUGGGGAGUACGGCCGCAAGGCUAAAACUCAAAAGAAUUGACGGGGGCUCGCACAAGCGGUGGAGCAUGUGGCUUAAUUCGAUGCAACGCGAAAAACCUUACCGGGGCUUGACAUGGUAGAAGUAGGAACCCGAAAGGGUAACGAACGGUAUCCAGUCCGUGACUAUCACAGGUGUUGCAUGGCUGUCGUCAGCUCGUGUCGUGAGACGUUGGGUUAAGUCCCCUAACGAGCGAAACCCUUGUUUUUAGUUGCCAGCGGGUUGUGCCGGGCACUCUAGAAAGACUGCCGUCGUCAAGACGGAGGAAGGUGGGGAUGACGUCAAGUCAUCAUGGCCCUUAUGCCCCGGGCUGCACACGUGCUACAAUGGCCGGUACAAACGGAAGCGAAGCCGAGAGGUGAAGCGAAUCC
rnacentral:rRNA from 1 species